AUAUAGACAAGUUCUCCUCGUUCACCGAGGACCUGGAGCUCGCCCGCUUCUAGCGCAUCUAGCGGCACUGUCAAGCUUGCACACCGGGACAUACAUCGUGUUUUGUUUUAUUGUAGCCUAAGCCCUCCCCCAGCCCCCCUGGACGUUAUCUCUCGUCGUUUCUACCCCAACCUCUCCUCCUCUCCUCGGAUAUCUGAUGGCCUAUCCCAUCGGCCGCCCGUCUCCUCCUCUGCGAAGCAUCGCCCUUUUUCCUUUUCCUCCUCGGACUCUCAUGGACUAUACUUCGACGAAACAGACGCGCUGCUUCAUUUCUACCGUACCGAAGAAAGGGACGACGUCGUUGGAUGAAACAGCUGCCUCGACGGCCACCUGUAUCUACACAUUCUUCUUCUUCUGCGCUCUGGAUGCUGCUGCAGCCUCUUUUUGUCGGUAGUGCGGUGGAGGCGGAUAACAACACCGAGCUUUUUCGGAAAAAGGGCGGAGGAGGCCGGCCGUCGAAAAUAAACUCUUGGCAGCUCGGAGCCGACUGUAGGAGG